UAGGGAAUCUUCCGCAAUGGGCGAAAGCCUGACGGAGCAACGCCGCGUGAGUGAUGAAGGUCUUCGGAUCGUAAAACUCUGUUAUUAGGGAAGAACAAAUGUGUAAGUAACUAUGCACGUCUUGACGGUACCUAAUCAGAAAGCCACGGCUAACUACGUGCCAGCAGCCGCGGUAAUACGUAGGUGGCAAGCGUUAUCCGGAAUUAUUGGGCGUAAAGCGCGCGUAGGCGGUUUUUUAAGUCUGAUGUGAAAGCCCACGGCUCAACCGUGGAGGGUCAUUGGAAACUGGAAAACUUGAGUGCAGAAGAGGAAAGUGGAAUUCCAUGUGUAGCGGUGAAAUGCGCAGAGAUAUGGAGGAACACCAGUGGCGAAGGCGACUUUCUGGUCAUCAUCUGACGCUGAGGUACGAAAGCGUGGGUAGCAAACAGG
rnacentral:rRNA from 1 species